rnacentral:rRNA from 1 species
UACGGAGGGGGCCAGCGUUGUUCGGAAUCAUUGGGCGUAAAGGGCGCGUAGGCGGCCGAUCAAGUCGGAGGUGAAAUCCCUCGGCUCAACUGAGGAACUGCCUCCGAUACUGUUCGGCUUGAGUCCUGGAGAGGGUAGUGGAAUUCCCAGUGUAGCGGUGAAAUGCGUAGAGACUGGGAAGAACACCAGUGGCGAAGGCGGCUACCUGGACAGGUACUGACGCUGAAGCGCGAAAGCUAGGGGAGCAAAC